rnacentral:rRNA from 1 species
UGGGGGAUAGCUCGCCGAAAGGCGAAUUAAUACCGCAUGUGAUUAGAGAGGACAUCCUUUCGAAAUUAAAGUCGGGGCAACCUGACGUUUCUUGUGGGGCCCGCGGCCUAUCAGCUAGUUGGUGAGGUAACGGCUCACCAAGGCUUUGACGGGUAGCUGGUCUGAGAGGACGACCAGCCACACUGGGACUGAGACACGGCCCAGACACCUACGGGUGGCAGCAGUCGAGAAUUUUUGACAAUGGGGGAAACCCUGAUCGAGCGACGCCGCGUGGAGGAUGAAGGUCUUCGGAUUGUAAACUCCUGUCAUUGGGGAACAAGGUGCAUACGUUAACUGCGUGUGCAUUGAUAGUACCCGAAGAGGAAGAGACGGCUAACUCUGUGCCAGCAGCCGCGGUAAUACAGAGGUCUCAAGCGUUGUUCGGAUUCAUUGGGCGUAAAGGGUGCGUAGGCGGCGCGGUAAGUCGGGUGUGAAAUCUCGGAGCUUAACUCCGAAACUGCAUUCGAUACUGCCGUGCUUGAGGACUGGAGAGGAGACUGGAAUUUACGGUGUAGCGGUGAAAUGCGUAGAUAUCGUAAGGAAGACCAGUGGCGAAGGCGGGUCUCUGGACAGUUCCUGACGCUGAGGCACGAAGGUCAGGGGAGCAAACGGGAUUAGAUACCCCGGUAGUCCUGACAGUAAACGGUGCACGUUUGGUGUGGGAGGAUUCGACCCCUUCUGCGCCGGAGCUAACGCGUUAAACGUGCCGCCUGGGGGGUACGGUCGCAAGAUUAAAACUCAAAGAAAUUGACGGGGGCCCGCACAAGCGGUGGAGUAUGUGGCUCAAUUCGAUGCAACGCGAAGAACCUUACCAGGCCUUGACAUGCAUCUCUAAGUUGGUGAAAGCCAGCGAGUCCCGCAAGGGACAAUUUGCACAGGUGCUGCAUGGCUGUCGUCAGCUCGUGUCGUGAGAUGUUGGGUUAAGUCCCGCAACGAGCGCAACCCCUAUCGUUAGUUAAAUGGUCUAGCGAGACUGCCACGCUAAACGUGGAGGAAGGUGGGGAUGACGUCAAGUCAGCACGGCCCUUACGCCUUGGGCGACACACACGCUACAAUGGUCGGGACAAAGAGCCAGCCAACCCGCGAGGGGGAGCCAAUCUCAUCAAACCCGAUCUCAGUUCAGAUUGCAGGCUGCAACCCGCCUGCAUGAAGGAGGAGUUGCUAGUAACCGUGAGUCAGCACAUCACGGUGAUACAAUCCCGGUCGUUGACACA